GACGAACGCUGGCGGCGUGCUUAACACAUGCAAGUCGAACGAAGAGCGAUGGAAGCUUGCUUCUAUCAAUCUUAGUGGCGAACGGGUGAGUAACGCGUAAUCAACCUGCCCUUCAGAGGGGGACAACAGUUGGAAACGACUGCUAAUACCGCAUACGAUCUAAUCUCGGCAUCGAGGAUAGAUGAAAGGUGGCCUCUACAUGUAAGCUAUCACUGAAGGAGGGGAUUGCGUCUGAUUAGCUAGUUGGAGGGGUAACGGCCCACCAAGGCGAUGAUCAGUAGCCGGUCUGAGAGGAUGAACGGCCACAUUGGGACUGAGACACGGCCCAGACUCCUACGGGAGGCAGCAGUGGGGAAUCUUCCGCAAUGGACGAAAGUCUGACGGAGCAACGCCGCGUGAGCGAUGACGGCCUUCGGGUUGUAAAGCUCUGUUAAUCGGGACGAAAGGCCUUCUUGCGAAUAGUGAGAAGGAUUGACGGUACCGGAAUAGGAAGCCACGGCUAACUACGUG
rnacentral:rRNA from 1 species